rnacentral:rRNA from 1 species
UACAGAGGGUGCAAGCGUUAAUCGGAUUUACUGGGCGUAAAGCGUGUGUAGGUGGCCGCGUAAGUCGGUUGUGAAAUCCCUGGGCUUAACCCGGGAAUUGCAGUCGAUACUGCGUGGCUCGAGUUCGGUAGAGGACGGCAGAAUUCCCGGUGUAGCGGUGAAAUGCGUAGAGAUCGGGAGGAAUACCGAUGGCGAAAGCGGCGCACUGGACCACAACUGACGCUGAGGCGCGAAAGCUAGGGGAGCAAACAGGG